rnacentral:rRNA from 1 species
CCUACGGGUGGCUGCAGUGGGGAAUUUUGGACAAUGGGCGCAAGCCUGAUCCAGCAAUGCCGCGUGCAGGACGAAGGCCUUCGGGUUGUAAACUGCUUUUGUACGGAGCGAAAAGGCUCUCUCUAAUACAGGGGGCUCAUGACGGUACCGUAAGAAUAAGCACCGGCUAACUACGUGCCAGCAGCCGCGGUAAUACGUAGGGUGCAAGCGUUAAUCGGAAUUACUGCAGGCGGUUAGUGAGGAGGCGGUUGAAAUCCCCGGGCUCAACCUGGGAACUGCCUUUGUGACUGCAUAGCUAGAGUACGGCAGAGGGGGAUGGAAUUCCGCGUGUAGCAGUGAAAUGCGUAGAUAUGCGGAGGAACACCGAUGGCGAAGGCAAUCCCCUGGGCCUGUACUGACGCUCAUGCACGAAAGCGUGGGGAGCAAACAGGAUUAGAUACCCCAGUAGUC